UACGUAGGGGGCAAGCGUUGUCCGGAUUUAUUGGGCGUAAAGAGCGUGUAGGCGGCCAGGUAGGUCAGCUGUGAAAACUCGAGGCUCAACCUCGAGACGUCGGUUGAAACCACCUGGCUAGAGUCCGGAAGAGGAGAGUGGAAUUCCUGGUGUAGCGGUGAAAUGCGCAGAUAUCAGGAGGAACACCGAUGGCGAAGGCAGCUCGCUGGGACGGUACUGACGCUGAGACGCGAAAGCGUGGGGAGCAAACAGG
rnacentral:rRNA from 1 species